rfam:Ictidomys tridecemlineatus contig062918, whole genome shotgun sequence.
AGGGAUGUGGCUCAGUAGUAAAGUGCUUGCCUAGCAUGCAUGAGGCACUGGGUUCCAUCCCCAGCACCACCC